UCCCGGAAGCCCAGUGUCGGAAGACAGAAGUGCCUUCGACACGCGAGGGCAGCGGAGCGCGCUGCGGGACGUAAUGCGCACGCGCGUCCCCGUUACGGGGGCAUUACUAGUUUGCCGACACGCGAGGGCAGCAGUGAGACCGGUGGAACGCAAUGCGCGUUCGUUCGGAACACCUACAAUACUUUUUCGUCACGCGAGGGCAGCAGUGGGGAGGCGGUAUGCAGUGCACAUGCGCACGGCACACGCAGUAGUGUUUUUUUCGGCAGGCGAGGGCAGCAGGCAGCACUGCGUAGCUCAGUGCGCAUGCGCUUGGUACACCUGCAGUACUCCUUUUUAGACAUGCGAUGGCAGCAGUGAGCAUGGCGGAACGGCAUGCGCGUGGGUAUACCCUUGAGCGUAGUACUGGUUUUUCGACACCGAGGAGAAGCAGUGACCUCUGCUGCCCUGCUUUGGUGACAGGCGAGGACAGCAGUGACCACGGUCCCGUUGUUGUCUCUCAAGGUCCAGAGCAGAUAAUUCCAGACCACAAUAAUUAACACCACGCCAACAGUGAGAGGAAGCUUUGUUUCUCAAGGUCCUGACGCCUUGCACAGGCCUUAUUUCAAAGUCUUGACAGCCUGCCUUUCAGAGUGUGAGACACAAGAAUACAGACUGCUUGAAACAUCCUUAUCUUUCCAGCCUGAACCAGCUCUGGGGACCUCUUUUACUGGACUAGGUGAAAGUUCUUCGUGUUAUCUGAGCGUGGCCUAAGGCUUCAGCAAAUUUAGCCACUCAUGCCAACCUUGGGCAUGCAUACUACAUAGGGACUGUUGCCCUGGGGACUUCACACUGAAAUCUUGCUCGAGGGCCAGCUCACCUUCCCACACCUUCAGGCUGCCUGUGUCUGCAAGAGCGAGGGUGCACAUGCCAGCCACUUUGGGAAGGAACCUCAGCUGUAAAGGACAUUCUUCUUGUUUAGCUGCACAGUUGUCACAAAGUACAUAAUGCUGACAUGGAGGCAGGAUGAUGCUACGAUCACCUUCUUGACAUACAACACACUUCUUUGAUCGAAGCUGAAAAACCACCUGUAAAAAGAUUACUGCACUCAGUAAAAAAUGAUUCCAAAGUAUACAGUCACGGACUAGCAGCUUUACGCUUAGAAGUCCCAGACAAACUUCUAAUUUAACAACACACAAAAGGUGAUGUUUUUGUUUGAUGAAUAGCCAAACUGAGAGCUGGGAGAGCAGAGUAUGCAUGAGCAAUAUUUAGAGUAGCAGCUGGAGGAGUACCAGUGCAUUUAGAAAGGAAAGUAUCUAGGACAGACUCUCCAGACUAAAAUUUGCCUGUGUAAUUGGCAUUAAUGAUACAAAGGAUACAAAAUAAUGAUUUAAAGGAGAGGAAUAAGCCUUCGUUAUUGUCAUACAGUCUCUUAUUUUGGCAUUUUAAACCACUCUUACAUUUUUUUCUUGCUGUGGGAAACAUUUGCAUCAAGACCAAACGGAAGCUUCCCAAAUGUGCGAUACCUUGAAUAAAGCUACCGAUACAAACUUUGGGGAGGAAGCUACGACUGCAAAUAAAUUGUGUCCGUGUGAUGAGCCAUAUCAACCCUAUCAAGAAACAGGAAGAACUGAAAGGCAUCCAAAAGCCAUGUUAACUUUUGAAAAGAGAGGCAUGGCUGGAUUAAAAGAAGAACCUGGAACGCUGUGCGUGGCAGUGCCUAAAACAGCAGCUUUCUGCUGGUAUACACGUAUGGUAUAGGAAACCCGAAAAAACGAGGAGCUGGAAAGGCUCGUCAUGGUUCUGUUCACACCUGCCUAGUUGAGAUGACUUUUAUUUCAGUAUCUACGGACUUUGUUGAUGAGAGAUCAUGGGACUCUUCUACUCCUCUUUAGAAUUCCUCAGGAGAAAAACAACAGUGUUCCCUAACCCAAUACGAAGUCCUAUAAUCAUACUUGGGAACAGGAGCCUGGUAAUUAGCAACUACUUUCUCGCCAAAGACUUAAAUGUGUUUUAGAGUCUUCUAAAGAAAGCCUGGCCUUUUUGCUUAUACAGAUGGCACUGGACAGGAGGUCUGCUGAGACAAAGAUGACACUGCUGAACUCAAAUAGGUACUGGAGUAUGGCAGACUGUUCCAGUAGUAAAGGGAAGUAAUUUUUGUCUGAACUGUCUCGUUACAGCCAAAACAAAAGAGCAAGAAUUAGCAUCACAUGUGGCAUCACUAUCUUUUGAGAUUGCAGGGAAGAAAGCAGUGCGGAAUCAGGUUGUGCUCAAAAAGGUUUGAAGCAAGAACCAGCCUUUUGGUACCUGGAUCAGUGAAUGGUCAGUAUUAUCUUCUUUGUCAUACUCAUAGGACAAAUGGCAUCUGACCUUCCUAGCUUUGAGAGCCCUCAGAAAUGCCCUCAAGCAGGCAGCCAAAGAGCAUCUUAUCCUUCGGCAGGAAUUACACCUGAAUUUCAGAGGUGUCAACUGAUUUGAUUGUUGCACCACCUUGAGGUUGGCAGGGGUGCCUCAUGCAGCACUAGGAAUUCCCUGCUGACAGCAUGAGGUUGAUGGUAAUAGGGCAAAACUUGGCAACAAAGAAUAUUUUAUUAAGUAAGACUGGGAAUCUGGGAGCCCUGAUUUUCACAGCAGUCAGUAAUCAGAGAGGCUUGUGGCUAAGAGACUGACUUUACGAUUGCACGGUUGAGACACUGGCUCCAGACUUUCAGCCGUCAAAGCCCCAUGUCUCUGUUUCUUUGACUUUUCAGCUUGCUCUACCAGAUGAAGCCAGUUAGUUUCAACAGGUCAGAUUACUGGAUGUCAGCAUUCCAAAAGCUGCUGGACCUUACAGGUGGCCUUUCUGGUCUAGAACAUCUCAAAAAUGGCCAUAGGGCCUACACAAGAAUCAAAUCUGUCCACCUAGUAAUUUACCAGUUGGAGAGUCAUUUAGGCUGUUCCAAAAGAAAAUCAAUAGCCUCAAUGUAAGUCAGGAUCAAUCCUGACAAAGAAGAGAUAGGUUAGUCUAGACUCAGUCUCCGAUAACGGAGCGUGAGAAUGUGUCAACUGUUCUCUCAAGGAGAAAUUACUGUAGAUAGAUAAGUUUUGUCUCUCUGCUUGGGGUGAGGGGGUUUAAAUCCCUGAAGAUCCUGCAUCCAGCAAUACUGUUGGUCUUCUUGAAGCAGUAGAGGCACUCAAAUGAAAAAUCAGAUACUGGAAUAUGCAUCUCACAACACAUUCAUGCCAUAGCUGGCUCUUAGGCCAUGUACAGGAGGUUUAAAGAGAAUAUAGAAGAAAAGUCUGAGUCCAAGUGCACCAGGCCAAACUCCCAGCAAUGCUGGAGCCCUCGAGAUCACAGUUAAAGCAAUUAGUAAAAAUGUUGUGCUUCUCUGAAAGGAAUUUAAAAGAAUCAAAAAGAGGAGAAGCAGACACGUAUGGGAAAAGUGAAAGCAAAUGCAAGAGAAAAUUGAGAUCUGUUUCAGAAAGUAAUGCAGCCAUAAUGAAUACUCUCCCUCAGGCUGGUUGAGAAAAAAACAGUAGUAUGCAAGCUUGUUGCAGCCUCUGGACCCACAUAUCAGCAGACUGGGCUACAGUACUCCUGUGGCUAACAAAAAAGCUAGUGAGAAGGGUUUUCUAUUUGUUGUGCACAGUUAUCCAAAAUCCGAAGGUCCUUGUGCACUCUCAUUGGUACAGAAUUAAUCAUUUUCAGCUAACGUGUACUUUAAUAUGCUUUGGCUCAUCUAUAGCAGUAUGCCACUAAGAUGAUUAAGGGCUUGGAGCAUCUGACAUACGAGGAGAGGCUUAGCUGGGAUUGUUUAGCCUUGAGAAGAGAAGGCUCAGGGGGGAUCUUAUCAAUAUGUAUAGUGGAAGUGAGUAAAGAAGAUGGAGCCAGACUCUUCUUGGUGAUAUUCAGUGAAAGGGCAAGAGGCAAUGGGCACAAACUGAAAUACAAGGAAUUCCAUUUAAACAAAAGAAAAAAAAAACUUUACUGUGAGGGUGGUCCCUCACAGGACCAGGAGCAGGAUGCUCAGAGAAGUUGUGGAGUCUCCAUCCCCAGAGAUAUUCAGAACCCAACUGGACACAGCCCUGAGCAGCCUGCUCUAGCUGCUCCUAUAUUUGAGCUUGGACUAAAUGAUCUCCACAGGUCCCUUUAACCUUAAUAAUUCUAUGCUCCAAGUCUGCACUGGGCUCUCUGACUAAACAAAUUCCUAGUAGGGAACCUCAACACCUACUUUCUAAAUAAGCAAAAAACAUGCAAGCAUUAUUAUCUAUUUAGGUAGUGGUCAAUACACUGGGGUUAAGAGCUGGUUUUAGAUCUCUCUUGAAAUCACCCUAAGAAUUCUUGUGAAUUAUUUAUCAUUUCUUCUGAUAGCUGAUCACAGAAUUAGAAGAAUCCAUUGUGUUGAGAAAUCCAAACCACUCUAGAAAAGAAAGACUUUCACUAAGAGCAGUGUCACUGUUUGAAAUGAAACCUGGCAUAAAUAUCCUAUUGAAGGUUACUGAGCUGCCAGUUUAAAUUAAUCAAAAAUAGUUGCACAGAUGAAGAAACUCACCUCAUCUAUUGUUCCUAAAUCUAAGCGCAGUCGACUUUGUAAGGAACGCAGCUUUGGUAAGGAUACCUUUUCUAUAUCUCCACAGUUUUUCAUAUAAGAUAAUGUAGUAGAUAGACAAGCAGCAAAUUGCUCCUUCAGCUUUUUUAAUUUACUUUCCACUUCCUCUUUCUUCUGAAGAGCAAGUUGUUUGUCAGCAUCUGCCACAUUAGCACGUUCUUUUGCUUCUUGAGCCUCUUUUUGCCAUGCAUCACAUGCCUGGGAGAAAAAGAUUGCAGAAUAUAAUAAAGAUAUUAAAAAAGUAAAAAACAGAAGAACAAAUUCAAAAGUCUUCAAAGAGGCAUGUAAUGUCUAAUUUUAGACAUUACGAUGCACUUGCUAUCACUUUAAUGCUUUUCCAUACUUAUCCUGCUCUCUAAUUAUAAACUCUUCUUGUUUUGUCUUAAACUAAAUUUUAUGUGUCAUUGUUGAUUGCCUGUACAUAGCCAGGAGCCUUUUUGGAGACGUAUAAAUAAAACAAAUUUUAAAUGUUCAAUUCAUAAUUUCAUGUCAAGAGACAUCAAAACCUGUCAAAAUUUGGCAGAACUAUUUAACUGUUCCUUGGCACAGAGAGAACAAUAUGAGUGGAAAGAAAGGACUACAGAAAGUGUGCACUACACUGGCAGGUAUCAACAACCUCAGUUUUACUGCUGAGAUAGCUGGACAGCAUCCAGGCACAGUAUACAACCCUAGCUGCUGGCAAGCCACUUCUUUUUUUGUGUGCUUACCAUCUGAAACAGGUAUGGAAAGGGAGAUGAUGUCCCUAGCUACUUAAACAUUGAGACAGGUUGCUCUUCAGCACUAUCCUGAAGCUAAUUGUCCUUGUCUAGAGAGGGAGAUCAGCUUGCAGAAAAUGAAUUUCUCUUUACUGCUCAAUUUCCUUUACGCCACUAGCUCAUUUCGGAGAUGGAAAAAAACAGCGUACAUGAUUGAUUAAUGUGACAGAUUGUAACAAAACUCUAGGUCCAAGGAUAAUGAAAUAUAUAAAAUGGAAGAACAGUAGGAGAUAUAUCUUAAAAAUAUAUAUAGAAAAUUUAAUAUUACCAUAAAUUAGUGUACCUGUUUUACUCGUUGCCAAGAAUCUUCCCAUUGUUUUAUUUUUCUUUUGGCAUGAUCGAGUUCCCGUCUAACUUGAAUUAGUUCGUUCCCACUGGUGCUUGAACUUAUUGAGGGGGUAGUGCCACUGCUCAGUACUGGGGAUGGACUAGGAGAGAAACUCCCUGUUACAAAGUCCCAAAUGCUCUCUGUAACACCAUUUAAACCU